UAGCAUAGCAUGCCAUAGCCACCCAAUCAGUAAUAAGGUUUACCUUUAAUGAACCUAUAAUCAUAUGUUACUAUGCACUAGAAUCUCUCCGUUACAAAAUCUCAAUUCGAGCUAGAUUCAUGGUUAAUGUCAAACCCCAUUUGCUAUGAACAUUAUGUUCUCUUUUAAUUUCAAUUCUUGAUUAAUUAGAUUUUCCUAUCAUAAACUCUUUUCUGCCUAAAUUUGUCUGUUAUGGCCAGGAACUUGAAACAUCAAG
rnacentral:misc_RNA from 1 species